AUCUGUGGUUGUAAAGGUCCAAAGAGGGC
rnacentral:piRNA from 1 species